rnacentral:rRNA from 1 species
UACGGAGGGGGUUAGCGUUGUUCGGAAUUACUGGGCGUAAAGCGCGCGUAGGCGGAUUAGAAAGUUGGGGGUGAAAUCCCGGGGCUCAACCCCGGAACUGCCUCCAAAACUACUAGUCUAGAGUUCGAGAGAGGUGAGUGGAAUUCCGAGUGUAGAGGUGAAAUUCGUAGAUAUUCGGAGGAACACCAGUGGCGAAGGCGGCUCUCUGGCUCGAUACUGACGCUGAGGUGCGAAAGUGUGGGGAGCAAACAGG